GUGUCAGCAGCCGCGGUAACACGUAGGGCGCAAGCGUUGUCCGGAAUUAUUGGGCGUAAAGAGCUCGUAGGUGGUUUGUUACGUCUGCUGUGAAAACCUAGGGCUUAACCCUGGGCUUGCAGUGGAUACGGGCAGACUAGAGGUAGGUAGGGGAGAAUGGAAUUCCUGGUGUAGCGGUGAAAUGCGCAGAUAUCAGGAGGAACACCGGUGGCGAAGGCGGUUCUCUGGGCCUUACCUGACACUGAGGAGCGAAAGCGUGGGGAGCGAACAGGAUUAGAUACCCCAGUAGUCC
rnacentral:rRNA from 1 species